rnacentral:rRNA from 1 species
GAUGAACGCUGGCGGCGUGCCUAAUACAUGCCAGUCGAGCGAACAGACGAGGAGCUUGCUCCUCUGACGUUAGCGGCGGACGGGUGAGUAACACGUGGAUAACCUACCUAUAAGACUGGGAUAACUUCGGGAAACCGGAGCUAAUACCGGGUAAUAUAUUGAACCGCAUGGUUCAAUAGUGAAAGACGGUUUUGCUGUCACUUAUAGAUGGAUCCGCGCCGCAUUAGCUAGUUGGUAAGGUAACGGCUUACCAAGGCAACGAUGCGUAGCCGACCUGAGAGGGUGAUCGGCCACACUGGAACUGAGACACGGUCCAGACUCCUACGGGAGGCAGCAGUAGGGAAUCUUCCGCAAUGGGCGAAAGCCUGACGGAGCAACGCCGCGUGAGUGAUGAAGGUCUUCGGAUCGUAAAACUCUGUUAUUAGGGAAGAACAAAUGUGUAAGUAACUAUGCACGUCUUGACGGUACCUAAUCAGAAAGCCACGGCUAACUACGUG